AGGCUCUCCUGCAGCGGGGGCACCUUAGAGGCUGGUUGUGUGGGCCAAGAAUGCACUCGAAGAGCAGGAACAGAGUUUGCAAGGGGGGCUGCCGGUGUCCACGGGAACCGUGGCAGGCCAGACACACCCAUCCCUGGAGAAGCAGAAGGUCGGCUAGGAGCUAUGAACAUCCUUGCUGAGCCCCAGAAGUGAGGAGCAACAGGGGAGGAAGGAGGCUCCUAUCUUGAAGCUGUUGGGCACCUACGCAAGUGGCACAGGGAGGGGCAGGGUGUUGGCUCCGAGUGAGAGAUUUGCUUAAGCCAGAUGGUGGCCGAUGAAGGAGGCCCAGGCAACCCCUUCUGGUCUUCCAGACAGCACCACAGGUUUGUGUGGGUUGGAGGGGUGCUAUCUGUCUGUCCAUCCACAAGCACAUGCCAG
rnacentral:lncRNA from 1 species